rnacentral:lncRNA from 1 species
UACAUUUCACAAAAUGCUUGACAAAUUAUGAGAUGAAAUACCAGAAAACAAAAAUUGGAGGAUACAUUGUCCAAAAUAUUGUGCCUAAAAAAAAUUACUAAAGAUACAAGCCUGUGUACACUGCCCAACAAGAAAAUUACAGCACAACUACUAACAGAACCACCGCCGGCACAAAACCGCGAAAAGAAAAAAAAAAAACAGUAUGAAAGUUUUACUGACAAGAGAAACGUCCAUCUCCUUCGAUCUCUUCCCUCGCUGGAUAACGAAAAAUUGAACAGCGCAUGAAACAUCACAUUAACUUUGACAAUCAUUCUUCAGACUUGAGCUAUCUGCUGUUUCAAUGUCUGCAACAACUUUAGUUUGGAUUCACAGAUCCGUAGAAACUCAGACAGCACCGUACAUUUCCCAGUUAUCAGCCUUCGUGCGACAUCAGUUGGACUCCAAGACUUCAAUGCUCGGGAGAUUCUAUCACCGACCGCUGUGUCAUUUACGGAUGAGAUAUAAGCUUCUAAAAUAUGGAAAACUUGCCCAGGGCCUUCGUUCUGUCCUUUAUUCUGCAAAGAGGAGAGUAAUGUCUCCAUGUUGGUGUGUAACCCUUCAGCUGAAAGUUGGCGGCAAGGAUCAUGUUUCAUGUUUUGUUUCAGUUUGAAUGUGAGCUAUUGGAUCAUAAUCCACAUGGUAGAUUAAUCAUGUAUCUAGUCUAAGUAAUAGAAUAAGACAAGUGGCAUAAUCUCAUAGGAUGAUAACAAUGAAUGAUUAAGAUUGUAUUGCAUGUUGGUGAGUGAAGGAUCUCCCUUCCUUUCCUCAUAUAAUGGUUAAAAAUGUAUUUUGUGUGCAGAGUAUGAAAUUGGAAGAGUCAUUGUUUUGCAUCAUCUUCUCUCUAAAACUCUCUCCACCAUUGAAGAGAAUCUCCAUUGAAAUACAUAUCAAAACACACAAACACUAACAUGGCCUAAGAGCCUGGUUUCACUGUCUAAACUGGGCGUGAAAUCUGUGAGUGCGAUUGAGCUACAUCUUUGAGCUUCAAUCGAAUCUGGAAAUUGUGAUUUCUUGUAUCCAAGUCUAAUAUGGCUGGAUCUGGUAAUGUCGAGCUUAGAGUUCCAAUGUUCAAUGGAGAAAAUUACGAGUUAUGGAUUAUUCGAAUGAAAAUCAUUCUGAAAUCUCAUGGUUUGUGGGAGUUGGUUGAAAAUGGGUUUGAACCUCCAUAUCUGAAGUCUAAGGAAGCUACGGUCGACGAGACGAAGAAGGAUACGUCAAGUGAAGUGUCAUUCAGUGAAAUUCUGAUGAAGGAUGCUCGUGCGCUUGGGAUGAUUCAAGGCGCAGUCUCGGACCAAAUCUUUCCCAGAAUCGCGAAUGAAGAGACAUCCAAAUGAGCUUGAGAUGUUCUAAAGGGUGAAUUACGAGGUGAUAAACAAGUAAGAAAUGUUAAAUUUGCAAGGGUUAAGUAAAGAUUUUGAAUAUACUCGUAUGAAGGAUAGUGAAUCAUUAUCUGUAUAUCUCUCUCGAUUGUUUGAUAUCAUUAAUCAAAUGAAAAGUUAUGGAGAAGAAUUAUCUAGGGAGAGAAUUGUGCAGAAAUUACUGAUUAGUCUUCCAAAAACAUAUGAUGCAAUCUGUUCUGUGAUUGAGCAUUCUAGAGAUCUUGAAAUUAUUGAGGUUCAAGAAGUUGUGGCUUCUUUAAAAGGAUUCGAGCAGAGGCUUGAUUUACAUACUGAGUCUUCGACUGAGAGAGCAUUUGCAAGUUUAAAUGCAGCAUCUAAGGGUGCCAAAAGUGGUGGAUUUUCUGGGAAUCAGAGGUCUCAAGAGAAUUGGAAGUCAAGGGGAAAAGGUUGGGAUCAUAAACCAAACUUUGUUCAGAAGCAGAAUAACACUCAAAGAAGCUGGGAUCACAAACCCAAUUAUUCUCAGAGACAAAAUAAUACUAAAAGGAAUUGGGAUCAUAGGCCUAAUUAUGUUAAGAAGCAAAACAACUUUCAGAGUGAUUGUAAAUGGUGUGACAGGUUUCACUAUGGGAAAUGUUGGUAUGAAGGUAAACCAGAAUGCACAGGCUAUGGUAAGCCAGGUCAUUCUGUGAAAGAUUGUCAUGAGAAUAAAGGAGUGCAGAAAGUUAAUUAUGUAAAGCAGAUGGGAGAUACAGGAUCAUUGUUUUAUGCCUGUAAUGCAGUGACGGAUGUGAAAGUCAAUAACUCAUGGUACAUUGAUAAUGGUUGUAGUAACCACAUGACAGGAGAUGAAAGAUUGAUGUUCAAUGUUCAGAGAAAUUUGACUUCCAAAGUAAAGAUGGUAACUGGAGAAAUUUGUCAAGUUGCAGGAAAGGGAACCUUGGUGAUUGAGACUAAAUUGGGAAGAAAACAUAUACAAGAAGUAAUGCUUGUUCCUGGACUUGAGGAAAGCCUUCUCAGUGUAUGACAAAUGAUGGAAAACGGUUAUUAUUUGUUGUUUGGAGGAGAUGUAGUUAAUAUUUUUGAUGGUUGGUCAUUGGAUAAUUUAGUGAGGGUGCAUAUGACCAACAAUAGAUGUUUUCCUUUGACAAUGUUGCCUGCAACACAGUAUGCACUAAGAGCAUGUGUCACACAUUGCUCUCAGAUAUGGCAUAAGAUUGGGUCAUUUGAAUGAAAGAAGUCUCAAGGUACUUGAAGAACAUGAUCUGGUGCAUGGAUUGCCUAAAUUAGAAAUGUCAUCAAGUGUGUGUGAAGGUUGCAUAUUGGGCAAACAACAUAGGGACUCAUUCUCUUCUCAAUCAACUUGGAGAGCUAAAGAUCCACUAGAGUUGAUUCAUACAUAUAUUUGUGGUCCAAUGCAAGUAGAGUCUCAUUCUGGAAACAAGUACUUCUUGUUGUUUACAGAUGACUGCACAAGGAUGUCAUGGGUGUACUUUCUGAGAAACAAGUCUGAUGCAUUUGAAUGUUUCAAAAAGUUCAAGGCCAUGACUGAGUUACAAUGUGGAUAUAAGGUUAAAUGUCUCAGAAAUGAUAACAAAAAUAAUUAUAACCUUUGGAUUGUGGGGAGGAAACAAGGGAUUAAUCCUGUGCUUUUAUCUGGGCUAUCAUGUUGGAGUGAGAAUGGUGAGUUGAGAAUAAUUGGGGACUAUAUUUCCUCUCUUGAUUUUUGUUGUACUGCUUCUGUGUUAGUGGUACAAUAGCAGACUUUGAGAGGGCAAGGGUCAGAUAAUACAAGUGGAAGGUUUGCAUGUAACCCUAGCCCUACUUAGAAGGUGAAGGAUUUGUUAAUUUCAUGGUGUUGAUAACUAGGGUUUGAUAUUUCAGAAACUAGAUGUGUAUUUAUUAUUAGCUAGGUUCAUGCUUUGAAAAAUGGCAUUUGAAAGAGAAAUAGGGACCAGCUGAGGUAGAAUUGAGUUUAGGUAGGUGAAUAAAACUAGUACUCAUUUGAAUGCAUACUUUGUGAUGUAUCAUAUGUUAAUUACAUGUACAGAUACUUCAUAUCAUGUACUCAUUGCAACUCUCCUACAAAGUUAAUCCUCUUCCCUACAAACAAAAACUCUUGUUAGCACUCGAUAAGUCAUAUCUGACACUCAUUUCCUAUGAAAACAUAAUGGAAGAACUACACUUUAAUGAUCGUAUCAUUAGUUUAUUAGAGUAAACAACAACAACAAUCAAGUUUUAUUUCAUUAAGUGGGGUCGAUUGUAUAAAUUCUAGAAUGUCCAUUACUCUUGGUUUUGCGUCAAGUCUUCUUUUAGCUCCAGUACUUCAUAUCUUUCUUAUAGUUUCUUUCCAAGUUUUCAUAGGUCUUUCUUUACCUAUUUUCCCCUCUGAGGCUCUAUCUCGUUGUCGUAUCGUAUAACUGAAUCAUCUGUAAGUCUUUGGUUCACAUGUCCAAACCACCUUAACCGAUUUUCUCUCAUCUUAUCUUCAAUUGUAGCCACUAAUUUUUAUGCUACACUAAUUUUCUGCACAUGUUGCUUUUUGACCACCUAACAUUCCAUGUCAUAAAGCAUUGCCGUCUUAUAAAACUUUUCCUUGAGCUUUAGUGGCACACAACAAUCUCACAACACGUUCGAUAAAGAAAAAGAAAGAAUGCGUCAGGUAGUCAACAGGCGACCCUUUAUGCUUCGUGUCGAAUCCCAAUAAUAUGAGUCAUUAUUUUGAAUCGAUAACUAAUUUUUACUGCAAUUAAAAAAGACAUCCAAAUGAAACCAUGAACAUUAUGAUGGAAGUCAUCACGUAUUUUUUUAAGCGAUAUUGGGAGGAAGUAUACUCAAAUACCACACCUCUUACAAACAAAUAACAAUAAUAAUAAAUUUAGAUUCUGAAUGUGCUGAUCAAAUCUUGGGGUGAAUAAUUAUACAAAUUGUCUAGAUUUGCUAAUAUUGGGCAUAUGUUUACCAAUUCCAAGGUACAGUUACAAAUCAUAACAAAGAAACUGCUUUUGAUUAGGGGUGGGCACUUAGAACCGAAAAUCGAAAUCGAAACCGAAACACGAACCAAAUCGAACAACACUGAACGGUUUGGUUUUGUGGUUUUGAAAUGGUUUCGGUUUUGGCUUUUGAAAACCGCACCAAAACCAAACCACACCACAAAUAUUAAUAAACAUUUAAUUAAAUGUCCAUAUUAGAUUUCAUGUUUUAAUUGGUUGUUUGUUAGGAUCCAUACAUUUAGUAUGGAGUCAAGCACACUAGAAUAUCAUCAUUCAUCACUUUCUUUCGUUCAUUAACUCGAAGGACCAUUGUUAUUUUAUACCAUCACACACACACACACACAUAUAUGUACAAGGGUGGACUAAGCUUGUUAUCAAGAGUCGAACAAUGAUCUAAUGAAGUCCACUCAUUUGAAGCAUGAUAUCACAUAUUCUAGUAUGAAAGUUUCGCUCACCUUUACUGAAUUCAAAGUUAUUCAACUUGCUUUAUGUUAUACCUUGUAUGGGACACCCUUUUGUUGCACAAACAUAUUUUAACAUCACAACUGCAUGCAACAUGCUAAUUGUUUACAUAACAAAUGUCUUUUUCCUAUUGCUAAGAAAUGCUUAUAUAUAUGUUAAAUUGCAAAUUGUACAUUUUUUCUUAAAAACCAAACCGAAACCGUUUGAAACCGCACCAAACCUAUCCAAACGGUUUGGUUUCAUUUCGGUUUUAACUUCAAAACCGCACCGAACCAAAUUGUAAAAAAUUUCGAUUUCAGUUUUGGUUUCACUCAAACCCGCACUGAACCAAACCGUGCCCACCCCUACUUUUGAUUGAAGUCCUAAGCCCAAAUCUCUCACUUUCUUUGUAACGACCCGUCUCCAAAAAUUAUGACUUUUAUAAUUUUAAAAAUGUAAAAUUACAAAAAAUGCCCUUCGAGGCAAAGACGUUGACUUUUGUUGACCACCUUAUUGUGUCACGUAAGAAUCAUUUUCUUGAUGUACUUGGAUAGUACUCGUCGCUAUGAACGUGUGGGCGCAAACGGAACGUGAUUUGGAGUUAUAACGAAAGAGAUACUAACGUUUAAAGUUGGGGGCAUUUUUACGUAGGUAUCAUUUCCUUGUUCAUAUCUUUUCUUAGUAAUCCUUCCAUAUUAUUCUGGUUUAGUUGUAUGCUCUGAACAUAUAUGCUAUUCGUAUGCAUGUUUCAAAUGGCUUCGUCACCCUCAGGUGUCGACUAGCAUGUGUCUAUCUUGAUAUCCCAAAUAUCAGGGUUGGGGUGUUUCAGUUUGGGGCGUGUUAGGGGGAAGCGACGUCAUCCUCACUAGUUCGAGCAAUUCUCGAGCAAUAAAAUAUGUGAGUGGACCCCUUCAUAACUUAUAUAUUUUUACAAAAUAUAGCCUAGCAUGCAUUUCAUAUUUCAUGCAUUUAAUAUGUUUUAUAUUAUGUUUUCCGGGUUUCUAUCAUUAUGGUUUAUAUAGAAUUCAUGAUUUAAUUAAAUUUCUUUACGAAAUAUUUAUAAUUUAUAGAAUUCACAUUUAAUAAUGGUUAUGAAUUAUUGGAAUUUUAUAUAUGAAACUCCUUGGACUUACAAAUAUGUUUUAUAUACGAUUUAUGAAUUGAGAUUUCGAACCCUGGAGUUUUGGUGAUUUGGCUGGAGAUUUUGAGAUGUUUUGGUACUUACGUAGUGGGUUAUCAAACAACACAUCUGCACACCACGGGUAUUAUGUCUAUGGCCAUAGGACACAUAUGAUGAAGGAGUGAGAUAUGAUAUAUUAUAUACCCCUAGCUUCAUCGUUGAAAGCGGUAUUGGACAACUUCACUAGCUACGGCUAGUGUCGAUGUGGAUGUUAUGCUAUUUGAUUCAGCUUCACCUGCGGGUGAUGGACAGGUUAUUCAGCUUCACCUUCGGGUGAUGGACAUGUUAUACAGCUUCACCUUCAGGUGAUGGACAGGUACUGCCUUCGGGUGACUAUGGUACCCAUAGUUGAGUACAACACGAAUAUGAUUUACGAUGUUUCAUAAAUGUUUUACAUUGCAAGCUAGGGUUUUUCAUAAAACUAUAUGUAGUACCAUAUGCAUGUUUUCAAAACAGGGGGUUAGUAUGUUCAUAAAGAAAAUGGUUUUCCUAUUACUAGUAUUAUUAUUAUAACUUUGGUCCACUCACCUUUUCUAUUUUUAAGCCCGGCGUCAGGGCUUUAUGGCAUAGAUAUCCUCGAGUCUUCUCAACGUAUGUGAUAGGGAUUUUACUUCAUGUGAAUGGGAUAAAAACUCCUAUAAUACUUGCAAAAAUCACAAGGUGGUUGUAGUAUAAACGGAUCUCGCAAUGUCAUUUUCCACAGGGAUUAUUAAAUAAUUCGAAACAAACCAAAUUUCAAUUAAUUAUUGUAAAGUAGAAAUUGAGAUGAUUGAUUUUAUAACCUACUUAAAAUAAAAACUAAAUUAUUUAAUUAAAAUAAACAAUCUGCAGUAUUAGAACUGGAGGGAAAAGAAAACAGUUUUGGGAGAAAUCAAAUUAAGAAAGCACUAGGGUUCCACCAUCACCUAGCAAUCCUAUGAAUUUUUACCAAUUACUUAUGAUCUACACAUGCCACUUUGAAGGUUAGAUUUUCCUAAUUCAUAUUCUACUUGGAACCUCCAACAUAGAACAUAUAUCUAACAUGUAACCCGUCCGGAUGUUCGGAUCAAAUUUGAACAUGAAAGACUCAUUAUGCUUUAUGAAAACCCUUUGAAAAACCAUGCAACCCUUAAGACGUGAUGUUCAUCCUAAGUGAAAUUACAAUUAUUAAUCACAAGAAACCAGCAUCAAUUUCAGGGAACCUUCCGACCAAAAUUGCAUCGAAUUACUUUUCUAAAGAUCCUAAUGGUGAUCAGGCAUUAAGACAAUUAGAUAGUUUUUAUCAUGGUGAUUAACAAUUCAAAGUAUGCAUGCAAUCAAUCAUAAGCAAUUAAAUAAAAAUCACAUAUUCAUACUAAGGCUCAAGGCUUCGCCCUAGCAAAAGGAAUUAGUUACGCAUAUUCAUAAUUGAAAUCAUAGAAAAUGUUAUUAAGAAAAGGAUUGAAAACACCUUCAAGUAGAAAAUCUCCAAAACCUUAGCAAUCCUCCAACUAGAAUUACUCCAAAAUUCGUCCAUUUGGUCAUGUGUUUCUCCAGAGGAAAUUGAAAGUCCUAUAUUGAAAAUACAAUUCGAAGUAUCAAAAUUCUUCCAAAAUAUUAACCAAAAUAUACUAAGAUUAGGGUAAAAAUAUAUAAUAUAAAAUCUACUCAUCAGUAUGUAUCAUCCCUUUAUUCGCAUCUUUUCCUAGUAAUUCAUUCAUAUGAUUCUUAGCUAGUUGUAUACUCUGAACACAUUCAUGUUUUAGUAUAAUCGUUGUAAUUGCAUAUAUUUUAGUUAUAUGCGUGUUUUAAAUAGCUUCGCCACCAUCGGGUGUCAGCCAGCAUGUGCCUACCUUGGUAUAUGGGGAUAUCGGGGUUGGGGUGUGUCAGUUUGGUAUCAAAGCAUGUUUUAUUCAGAGCAUACUUAGGAUGUUCUCAUAUUCUAGCAGUGUAUCAAUCUUGAUAUCAUUUGGAUGUCAUGGCUUCCGUUUGCUGAUGUCAUUCGGCACGGUUGUACAAUCCUCAUUCAGCAUGAAUAGUUACAUCUUAUUAGAAGCAUUAGAAGUUCGUGUCGGGAUUGUGCCUCAAUUUAGACGUAAUUGAUUGAAUGAUGACUUUCAACAUCAGACUGAUACCCUGCAAUAUGCUUUCCUUAGGAAUGGCAGGCAGAGUCGGUUUUUCAUAUAGGUGACGUGAAAUAGAGAAAACUAGUGGGAUUAAGUCGAGUUGGGAUCAUUUGAAGAUCGGAGCCUGUGAUGGUACUUUGCGACCUGUGGUCCUUUAGAAUGGCAAGCAAAGUUAUACCUGUUGGGAGAUUACUCAAAAUACCCGAAGUUCGUGUUGGAGAAAAAUUAAGAAAACAUCAAUUAUAGACCGAAUCAGUUUUCCUGGGGUUUGUUAUUUUCACUAAGGGAAUUUAUGUGGACCCUUCGAAAAAUCUUCUCAGUAAUUGUCUUAGUAAUAACAUCCUUGUCUACUCCGACUAUGAGGUUAGUUAUUAGACAUCUACAACCAGCUUUAUACAAAUUCCUCAAAGGUCGACCCUGUUUAGACUCGAAUCUUUCUUGAGAGAUGUGAGCAUAACAGAGAUUGUUUUUAUCAAAUUCAAUAUUGUGAUUGUGGAAAUCAAGAACCCUCUCGAGUUUCGUGAAUUAUGAAUUAUCAUCGGACUUGUUGACUCCUAUCGACAGUUGUCAACGAUUCUUUGACUAUAUCCGUAUUUCCAUUUUUCUGUGGCUAGGAAACCAUUUAGUUUUGUUUGAGAUGUUGCCUCACCCUACAUUGUUCUUAAACUCUUCAGCGACAUCAAUGAAUUUUGAAUUCGACAGUGGUGUUUUACUGAAGGUAUAGUUGUGCACUGAUGCAGCAUAUCGGGUGACACAUUUACCUUUUGACGGUUGAGACCACAUGAUGUAAACCGUCCUAUCUAUGACCUUGAGUCAUCUGCCAUCAUCUUGGUUUGGAAAAUUGAUGACACAUCUUCGUGGAGGAAUGGAUCAGAUCGUUAUUAACCUUGCACAUUUCUCGGUUAGCUUCACUCGAAAAUAGCUAAGUCUCGGGGAGCAGUGAUGGUUAGGAUUUACCGAUGUCUACGAUUGUACCAUCGCGUGCCACCCUGAUUAUGCAAUUGUAGUUACUGACAACGCAGUAUAAAAACACAUAUAUACCGAGUACUUGUGGUGAUGUUACUUUUGAUCAUUGAGAAACUUUGUUAGUUAAGUUUCAAGUUCGACUUUUCUACAUUGGUCUGAGUCGACCAAGGAAUUGUUUAGUCCUUUAAUAUAAUUCUUCAUUUUUGGAAUUGUCAGACUCUCCGACGUCUUGGUUGCGUCGGCUUUGUUCGUACCCUUAGUUUCACCCCCUAGCACUUAAAGAUAUCUUAGUUAACCUUGGGUUACUUUUCUGUUCUCCGUAUCAUUUUUGAAAUACACAGACUGUCCAGGAGGACCACUUAGACAUCGAAACUUUUAGUGAGAUCAUCAGUCCUUGAAUCACCAAAUCAACAUCCUAUCGAGCGAAUCUUCACCAUUGGUAAUUUGACAUUUCUGGAGUUACCAUUGUAACGAAAUUCAGUAAAUCUUGGUUCAAGGAAAAUCUAACAUUCCGUCCAUUAGCUUCAUUUGACCAUCGUUCAAGUUGAGCUAUUAUUCGACCAUUUCAAUUACUAUCAUGUAAUCAAGUUAAGAAGUUACACGCAUUCAAGUAGCAGAGUUGUAUAUUCACUCUAGAUAUCUUGUACUCUGGAUUGAUGAACUUGUUUUGACCCUCAUUCUUGAGUGUUAUUUUAGUCUUUUCGACAUGGUUUCUCGCUAAUUUAGUGAGGAAUUCGAGAUAGAUCGAUUUGGCAGAUGCGUUCGCCCAGUUUCAUAUCGAGGCUAGAAGGAACAAUUAGAGCAUAAUCUUCUCACGAGUUUACCAGACUUACCAAGAAGAGUUUCAAGUGGUCUUGAAGAUUGAGCAAUAGUUCAGUAUGGAUUUGGUGAAGGUAUAUAAAUGUAGGUUUUGAGCUUGGCGAUUGUGGCGUUAAUUGCCAUGUGUGACUUGAGAUUACAACUGUCACUCGAAUGAUGUGGUAAGAGAUAUGGUUACUCUAAUUCAAGCUUUCAGAUCUUGUACUCCUCGAUUUAAAGUGCGACCAUAGUGGAUAGUCAUGAAGGAAAAACUUUACGAUAUGUGUUCGCCUUUACGCAUAUUUCGACUAUUUCACUCCAGGACUUAAUGUUCGUGGGUAUGUGGAUGUGAAAGCAUUUCUAGCAGCUCUGUGUGGUGCGCUUUGGAGUAGUACCUCACAUAUGGGGCACAUGGUAAUUUUGGUACCAUGGGUACCAUCAGGAAUGACACGUCCCGACCCUGAUGUUCUAAAUUGUCACAUCCCGGCUCGGGCCCCUACCACAUCCCUGACUCGACUCCGCCGUAGCACGAUAUUGUCCGCUUUGGGCCCCGGCCACACCCUCACGGUUUUUGUUUUUGGGAACUCACACGAAAACUUCCCAAUGGGUCACCUAUCAUGGGAUUGCUCUCGCGCGAACUCGCUUAACUUUGGAGUUCCAAUGGAACCCGAAGCCAGUGAGCUCCCAAAAGGCCUCGUGCUAGAUGGGAAUAUAUAUAUAAGGGUUAAUUUUAUUUUUAGGUUGCAGGAAAAUACGGUGUAUAAUCUUGGGAGUGCUUUUGAUUCUACUCUCAUCUCUACUAUGAAUAUAGGUUACAACCCUGCCCUGUGUAAUCCAAAAGCUAAAAUCACACCCUCUCAAUCUGAACUUCAUCGUAGAUGUACUCUUUUUCCCUCUUAAUUGCUUCUUAGGGCUUCUCUGUUUUGAUUUUUAUCAUCCAAUUUGUUAAAUUUAUUGUUAAUUUCAGGGUACUACCAGUUUUCUGCUGACUCUGAUUCCACACUUCAGAAAUGUAUGCCUCUAAUUUAUGAUAAAUUUUGCCAAUUUGCUUCUCUUGAUUUGGAAAGGUAUGACUCCAAUGACUUUGUUUUCCAAAGCCAUCGUAGCAUCUGCAUCCCCAGUUGUAGAACAAAAGCUAAUCCAAUUGCUAAUCUUAGCAUCUGCAUCACCAAUUCACCAUUAUCUUUUUAUUUUGAGAGCAUUUAUCGAAUAGAGGGCAACUACACAGUUUUAUAUCUUCGAUAUACAAGUAUCAAUGCUGAUUUCUUUUGUUUACUAAAUACAUGCAUAAUCUGUGGUUCGUUUGAACUUUGAUAUAUGUCAAACUUAUAAUAAAGGUAUAGAGCCGGAGGUGACGAUGUGGUGGAAAAGUAAGUCUUCUUACUUUCCGCUCUAGCUCAUAGUACAUAAUCUUUCCAACUUUGACUAGAAUUAUAUCCACAACUCAUUUGCUGGCUACAAGGACUGGAUAUAGAAUAAUGGUUUAAUAAUGGUUUUAGAAUGGUAAAUGAUCGCAGAAGCAACAUGGAAUUCAAUAGUUGAUAUUUUGACUAUAAUUACUUUUUGACACUUAUGUAUUAAAAAAAUAGCAUCCUAUUAUAUAUCUGUUACUAUGAGUUUAAUUUCUUUCAAAUUCUUCCAUAAAGUGUGAGAUUUUCUAUUUUGUAUUAUCAUCAUUGCUAGCCGGUAAUUUGAGAUCCUUUUUCUUUUAGUUAAGAAAAUAUAUUUUCGCAAAAGGCCUUUGAGAUAGGUUUUUUUUUUUCUUUUCUUUUUCUUUUUAUCUAAUUUAUCCUUCUAGAUGAUUUAGUUUAUUGGGAUAAUUUAUUAGGAUACCAGCAUAUAAAUAACUUAGUUUAUUGGAAUUUGCUAUGUGGUGUUGCUUUUAAGCAAAUUAAGUACAAUAAAGUGCAAUCGUGGCUUCUUCUUGCUCUGUGUUUUGUUUAUUGGGUACCUAUUUGUGGUUUUCCUAUAGGUCUCUAAUGUGAAAUAGAAAGAUGUUGGCGGUCUUGAGGAUGUGAAGAAAUCGAUUCUGGAUACUGUUUUUGUAGAAUACUCAUCUUGAGUUGUUGAAUGUUUAAGAAUAAGUUGUAGCAAAUUGUAAAAUAAUUGCUUGCCACUGGUAGCUUCUUAAGCGGAAGAUCCUAUUCAAUUCCUUAUCUCAUUGUUGGAUUUUCCAUUCAAUUCCUUAUCUUACUGCUGUAUUUUUCAUGGAGUUUGGGUGCACAAUUACAAGGAGAGAAAGAGAGGGUGGGUGCAGUUAUUUUCUUUUUCUAUAUGCUUCCUUUCCCAAUUUGCUUAUCUGGUUGUUGGCGUUCGUCUUCCUCCUCAAGGUAAGGACUUUUCAAUCAAUUUCUGAAGAUUUAAUAUGGGUUUUAUUGUUUUAGUUCGAACAUUCACGGAUCUAUGAGCAAUAAUUUCAGAUCUAAUGGUUUUGUUUUCGAAUUUUCCUAGCUGUGUAGUUCACCAUUUUUUUUGCUUCUGAAUCUGAAAAAUGGAUUGAAAUUUUUUAUUUUAUUUUAUUGCUGUAGACAUAACCCAGAAUUUUUUUUUUUUUUUUUCAUUUGGUGAAUUGGGUUUGGUUGUUGUACAUUUUUCUCUCUGCAUCUACACAACGUUGUUCUACCAUGCCUGGGUUUCGAAGUUCCAAAUCCAAUUUAAUGCUUCAUCAACUCCACUUAAAGGUUCCUGCAUCUCUUUCUCUCCUCAAAUUCUUGGCCAAUAAUUUUAUAAGCUUCAGGGAAAUUAUGCUAGAAGUGCUUAAGCUUUCUAUCUGUUUAUUUAUUUUAACUUUUGUUUUAGUUGUUUUUAGAAUGAGUACAAUUGAAUUGCUUGCCUAUUAUUUGGUAAAAGUGCUUUUCUGUGAAUAAUCAUUUGUUAAAUAUGCUUUUGCAUUUGAAGAUUGACAUUCAUGUUGCAAGAAUUAAGUUGUGAUAGAUUAUUCUGUAGUCCAACUGCGAAUGUGUUGAUGAAGAGCUGGAACAUGUAUACACCUACUUUUAACAACUCUGAUUGUUAGGGUUUUCUGGUUUGUUAAUUUGGUAUUUCCUAAAUCUUCACUGUUAGGUUGAGGGGAAAAUUGCAAGUUAUAAGGUGUAAAUUGUAUAGAUUUUUUGUCAAUUUUAUUCUUCAUUCUGAAAUUUGUGUAAUUGGUUGGCUCAAAUCUUUAUUUGAUCUAACCAUUCCAAUUUGGCUAAUUUGGUUUUUAAUUUUUGUUUAGGUUUGAUUAUAUUGGGGUUGAGUUUUAAAGUGAGGGUGCAGGGGAACAAGGGUGCAUGAUGUGCGCGUAGGGUGCAGGGGUUUCAGGGGCGGUAGGGGGUGGGGUGUGCCUGUGAAUUGCAGAGCUGCUCAGCUCUUCCUCUAUAAGAUGAGUUUCAUCCCUGCCUUAAUUCACUUAAAUCCUGUGAUUUCAUGCCUUUUUUGGUUCUGAUUUCAGAUGGUGGUUUCAAUUUUUGCUUUGUUCUGCCUCUAGACAGCUGCCACCACCACUUUGUCCAAAUCUGAUGGCUCAGGCUGUAGCAUCUGCGUGAAUCUCCCCGUACAAUUGGACUCCGCGAUGUUUUCCAAAUAAACUCCAAACCCCAAAGGGUGCGGCCGAAAAGUUAAAAUCUGAGACAAUCAAAUCCAAUCCAGGGAAGAGAUUGGAUAGCUUCUGAGGUGUGGCUAUGAUAUGUGCCGACAAUUCCAAAUGGAGAUGAUGCUGAAGAAGAUUGUAAGUCAAGCCUACUCACUAAAUACCUUAGCAAUUUUAGUGACUGGUCUGAGCUCACCCUAUAUAUAAGAAGACAUAUUGAAAUAAUGAUAAGAAUAUGGUAAUUCACAAAUGAUUAGGAUUGUGUGAAUGUUAGUUUAAAAUGAAGUUUCUUUGUUAGAAUUAAAAACCAUGCACGGUGGAUUUUUAUAGGUGUCAUGAAAUUUUUAUACCAGUUUUAUUUUAUGGGAAUUAAGUGCAGAGCGGUUUGGGAUAUCCGUGCAGCUCACAUAAGAAGAGAAUCACAACUUUUGGGCUGAGAGGUAACUGGGAUUUGUUCUUCUGGAUCAGUUUUAAGGUUAGGUUUUUUUUUUUUUUUUUUUUUUUUUUUUUUUUUUUUUUUUUUUUUUUUUUUUUUUUUCGCUUUCGGUUGUUCUGGCAAGUUUUGUUGUAGUGUGUGUGUCCAUCAUCAUGUCAUUGGAAUCAUAUGUUUGAAUUUGGAUUUGGAAUGGUUUUUCUGAUGUUUGUAUUUUUUGUAUAUUAUAAUUCAGUGCAGGUUUGCGUUGGAUAUAGGAUAGUCAUGGAUCGGUUCAAAGCUUGGCUAAUGAUAGUUUCAGAUCUUGAUCAUACAAUGGUAGGUUCUGUAACUGGUUUUGUCAUCAUAGGUUCUGUAAUUUGAAUAAUAUAAAUUAGGGUUUUUCGGUUAGUGUCCAAAGGAUGAUUCUUUUUGUUAUCAUGCAUAUUUAAGCUGUAAACAUCUGAAAAGCUGCUUAAUUGAAGUGAAAUUUCCAGUUUUUGAGCCCGAUUUCAAGUCUUGAACUUUGAAUUUGGCUAUAUGUAGAUCAGCUGAAGCUAUCUACAUCAUAGUUUAAAGUAUUUGUAUUGGUAAUUAUGUGUUUAAGUUGCGCAACUUGAGUUGCCCCAAUAUCUUUUGUGUGCAAUUUGGUUUAGAAAUGUGGGUUUUGAUGUUUUGGCAGGCAUUGGAAAAAAAAAUAGAAAUUGGUUUUCGCUCAAUGCAUAGUUAAUCUUAAAAUACGGUUUAUUAAAUUGGGUUCAUGAAUUAUGGGUGCUAGCAAAUUAGCGACAUCGACUCCUAUAACGAAGAGGUUGAUGAGAGACUACAAGAGGCUGCAACACUACGCAAAAAGGCUGUUGAUGCUGCUGGUUUUUUUCUGUAAUCGAUUUAGGAGUUCCUAUUGUAUUCUUAAGCAUAACGUCUGACUGCCAAUGACAUAUUCUAUUGCUUUCUACAGCUGCCAAUGCCUAAACCUCCAACAAAAUGGAAACUUUUGCCAAAACAAAAGGUCAAUCAUUACUGCAGAAGCUGAACAAUACUUUUCCUCUGUUUUUUUUUUUUCCUUUCAUCUUCCCCCUUCAAGGCUUUGUUUUGGUUCUCAUAUGUGGCCAUUUGGUCGUUGAGAAAUGUAGUUGGAUUUAAGAUUUUGAGAAAUUGGACCAUUUUAAGGAAAAUAUCAGAAUUUGGGAUUGGACAUGUCAAGUUGUUAUAAGAAAAGUCAUAGGUAUCCACGGACGUGAUUGCUAUCCAUUUGAAUUUUGUUACAAUAGUUUCCCUUUAGCAUAAUUGUUGCACUGAAUUUGUUUUUUGAUGAUUCAAUUUGGGUUUGAAAAAAUGCUGACUGGUUGAAAUUUGAAAUUCUGUUAAUUUUCCAUUCAGGUUGAACAAAAAUAUCUCCAGGAUCCCCAUUUUAUUAAUUGUGUUGUUAAGGUAAAUUUUCUUUAUCCCUCUUGCAGAUUAAUUUUCGAUGGAUUAUGUCUUCUGAGUAGUAUACAAGCUGGACAUUGUAUCUUUGAGAAAGUUUAUGGUGUAUAGUUUCUGCAUAAGUUUAUUUUGGGAGUGGUAUAGAACUGUAUAUGGAGCUUUGUGGUGGAAAUUUUAUGAUUUUAUGUAUGGUGGAUGAAUUGAAUUUGGAAGGAAAGCAACUCAAUGGUUGUCUUUUUCUUUUUUAUUUAUUGCGAAUGGCAGAUUUUAACUAUGACUGUCAUUGAAGAUUUAUCUUGAAUCUGGACAGGUUUUUUUCAAUUGUUAUUUACGAAGGUUGUGACUCUUCAUGUUGGCACCAAAAUAAAGUUUGUAGAAGGUUGUUGACUGACGAUAAAAGGUAGCUUGCAAUUUUUUUUUUAAUGAGUCUUAUUAAAUGCAUUUGAGUACCACAUAAAUUUACUCAAUUAUUUUAGCAAUUAGGAAAAUCACUCUCUUCACUAAAACUGUUAUUCAUUUACAUUAACAACUUUUAUUUUUCCAAAUUGUAACAGAGAAGUAUGCAUAUCAUGAAAAAUAAAAGAUGGAAGUUCUGAAGUGACGACCAAGAAAUGAGACUUAAGUUUGAGUUUUGAAUUGGAGUUCUCAUGCAAGAAGAAAGGUCACUUGAGUUUUGAGUUCCUAUAUAUUUUCAUUGUUUCAUUUAUACAUCUUUUGGAGGAUUGGAGGGGAUUGGGAGGCAGAUGAGUGAGACUUCCGAUGGUUACACAGAAAUAAAUGGUCUCUCGCAUAAUUAGGAAGCAAUUGCUAAGUGAGGAUUCUCCGUUUCGCUUUGGAUAGAAAAUAAUUAAGUGAAAAUGCAUUGAUUUGGUUUUAAUUUUCCUAAUUUCUUCAACAUGUGUAUUAAACUAAAGCGAAAUGCUUAUUUCGGCGUAUGUAUUGUAUAUUAAACUCAACUAAAUGGAAAUGUUCAUUACAUUGCAUGUGGUGUGUACUUUGUAUUUUACAGACCUAUGCUUUAUGUGCUAAUGUUUUAUUGUUGUUGGUGUAAGAAUUUAUAUUAAGUACUAGCAAACAUAGUGUUUUUGCUCUUGCAAGGAAAUUGUCUUUUUUCCCCAGUACUUUUACAAGGAUUUAGAAUGGAAGUGUGUUGCAAAUUGUUCUGUUUAAUGGAAAUAUAGACAUGCAGGAUGGAACCGAUCACAUAUCCCUCUGUUCAUUCAUUAUUAUGUUGAAUUUAUUUAGGUAAAUGUUUCUUAUUCAUCCAGUUACCAUUAGUACACUGACUUCCCGCAGCAUAGUGCGGGCUUAUUUUCUAGUACAUAAUAAACCUAAGAAUGCCAAGAUAACAGCAAAUCUUGCAAUUUCAAUGGUGAAAUCCAACUGCUAGUGCGAUCUUCUGCUGGUAAUUUAGCAUCGGGGUAGAUCUGGUGGAGGAGGAAUUACAGUCUGUAAUGGUCCGAUUCCGUUCUCGACUAGACAAGCCAUAGCCAAACCCAGGAAGAGAUGUGAAUCUAAGUGACAGUGCAUCAGCCAGACGCCUAAUUGGGUCAAGAAGUAGAAAGAUAUCAAAAUAGUGAACAAAUAUUGGUUAGAUGAAAGCUUAGGAUACGAGAUUAGCAUGUUACCUGGAUUAUCAGCCUUAAAUCGUAUAGCUACCCAUCCCCCUGGAGGUGUUCCGAUGGUAUUUCUCUGUGGCGGGUCAAUGAGGUUGAAUCUCGCUGGAUCCGUGCUGGGGUUGUAGUUUCCAAAUCCUGAUCCAAUCACGUAGGAAUGGCAUCCAUGAAAAUGCAUAGGAUGGUCAUCAAUAGUCACAGUACUUGUGUCCUGAAACACUAUUUGUACAUUAGCACCGUACUUCAACUUGUAGAGCUUAGUUCCACGACAAGGUGACCAUAGCCCCCUGGGCACAUUUCCGGUGUAAUUGAAUUGCACAAGAGGAACAGGUGGAAAGUCUGUGGUGAAGACACCGAGGACACCAUAGUAGGCAGCUUGCAUUGAGGAGUUGGUACUUGGUAAUGCAAAGGAAACAUUGUUCAUGCUAGCUGCAAAGCGGGUGUUGUUUGGUCCUUGACACCAAGGGCUGUUGGGAACCGUGCAGUUAUAAGGUCCUAAACCCACAGUGAAAAACAGGUUCUCGUCAAUCUGUGUGGGCACUUUGACCUGGGAUGGGCUCUUUAUCUGAGCAGUGUAUGCAGUAGCAGUUGCUGUGUCGUUGUAAGCUGGCAAUGUAGGAAAUACUGGUGCUAAACCUUGAUUUGAAGAAGCAGCAUUCUUGUACUCAAGGAUAGCAGUGGUGGUGGUAUUGUCGAAGGGCACAUUCUGGGCAGUCUGAUAGGCACGAGCAGCCAUGUAGUACCGAGCAGGGCGCUGAUCAGCAGUAAGCAGAACAUCGGUUGUUUGGCCAGGGCCUAUCAUGAUAACUCUGGUUGUGAGAGGUUCUGUGUAAGAUGCGUCAGCGCCCACAACAGUCAGUUGGUGGUUGGCAACGGUAAAGAAGAGUUCUUGAUUGAGUGCUGAGUUGAUCACUCUCAGGAGAAGUGACUCGCCCGAUACAACUGGAAUUCGAAUGGUUUCUGCAUCGCCAUUUUUUUAUGUCAACACAUUAUACAUCUUUUUAUUUUUGCAUAUUUAAGCAAGUGGAAUUUAGCAAACCUUUUUUGGAACAUCUGUAAAGAUCACCAGGCUGUCCAUUAAUGGUGUAUGCAUCAGAGACAUUUGGUGCUCCUCCUGUGAAAGCCGCAAGCCUCAUGACAUCUUGGGGGUUUCGAUCAAACCAUUCCCCAAGAAGAAGGGGAACUUCUCGUUGUGGCAUCGGGAAGGGGUAGGGAGAACCCAAUCUAGGGUAGAUUAUGAGGGCUCCAUAGACACUGGCUCUGAGCCAUCUGCUGUGAGCAUGCCACCACAACGUGCCCUCUUGGUCUGUGAUUGUGAACCUGUAUGUGUAGGUAGCUCCUGGUUGGAUAGGGCACUGUGUGACAUAUUCGGGUCCUUCUUCCCAUGGAUUGUUCUGCUGCUUCCGUCCAUGCCUGAAAGAUACAGAACAGUGAGCAUUACAUAAACUUGGCACGGACACUAGACAAACAUUAAGCCGUAUAUAAACCACGAUUUAGUUUAUUAGCAGCGGAAAAUUCAAAAUCAUCGUAAAUUAUGAUGAAUGAAUACCAGUGGAUGGUGACGUUGUAUUUCUCUCUGUUGGUAACUUUGACGGCAACGGAAUCUCCAUUUCUGACUUCCAAAGUUGGUCCUGGGAACUGGCCAUUGACUGUGAUUCUGCUGUGGGUUCUGCACAGCCUCUUCACCGGCCUCGCUUCAACCUAUUUCGAAAUUUCCACGCGCAAAACAAAGGCGUUAUGAAUACGAAUACACAAAUAUGAACAUGGACGCGAAUACAAAGACGACUAUAUGUAUACGAAAUGAAUGAAUGCGUACGAAGAAUUCAUGGAAGUGAUCUUCUGCAGCAGAGAAGGAAGCUAAGAAAGUAAGGAAGGCAAGAAGGCCAAGCAGAAGGGUAAGUUUGGAGGGCUCCAUUGCUUUGUUGGUGGCAGUGUGUGGCUUGUGAGUUUAUAUAUAUCUGGAUCAAGCGGGAAAGCCGAAAGUUCAUUUUCCCAGAGCAACAAAAGCGACAACUAGUUUGAUAUUUUGACAAAUUGCCCUCCUCGGUCAACAUUCGACACUUGCGUGGACAUAUUAGUCCAACCAAACAGGGGACUUGGUUCACCCACUAUGCCCUGCUCAGUCAAAUGUUAAAAAAAUGCUUAGCAUCUCAAAGGUUUGGUGACUCUUAUUAGUGCCUCAAUUUAUUAGGGAUUGAGAGUUAUGCUUUACUUUAUGCGAGCAAUCGAAAAGCUUCGUGGUCAGAAAAUGUUAACUAUUAACGGUCAAGUGUACUAUUUUGUUGUUGGUGGCGGAUCUAUGGUACGAUUUUUUUACAUAAUUUUUGACACGUUUUUGUGAGGCUCAAUUCAUAAUGUAUUUUAACAAUUUGAACCAUCUAUCUUUUAAAAAAAUCAUUCAUAGAUUAUACUUGUAAAAAUUAGACAAGUUCAAACCUAUUAAGACAUUCAUUUGUAGUGAAGGAAACUGACAAAUAUUGUUCUACAAAAAAAAAAACUAAACGCUUAAUCAAAUGGUUAUAUGAUUUCAGAUGUUGGUGAUUUUUAGUAUACGCUAUAUUUGAGGGAAGACCUAAAAGAUAAACGGUUUGGAUCGUCAAAUACAUUACGGGGUAUGCCCCGCAAAAACGUGUGUCAAAAUUUAUGUAAAAAAUGCAGUGCCACAUAUCCACCCCCUUCGUUAUAUCCUCAGUUUAGACUAAGGCUAAUAACGUAACAUGUUAAACUGUAUAGCAAGACAAGAAAAUUUUAUUAUUGUUCUUAUUUUGUACUUCAUCAUCUCCAUCCUUGGCAAGUGAAUCACACCACCACUUGUCCAUCAUCUAUCAUGCCUCGUGAGCCAAGACAUUUUGAAGCAUUCUAAAUUGACUCAUUCACCCAAACUUUUGUGCUAUUUCACUUGUGCUUUUCAAAACCUAUCAAUUAUCUAGGGACUGUUAAAUGGGGGUUGAAUUUUGGUUUGAUAUGGUAGGGAGGAAGAAGAAAAGAAUCUUUUUUUUGUUGCAUUACGUAUAAUCUACGAUCGAGUACCUGACAAAAUAUAUAUAUUUUAACGGGCAAACUUACUAAGAGAUGUAUUUUACAGACAAAAAUGAUAUUUUUACUAUAUCUUUCAUACAAUAUUUGUACCACUUUUCUAAUGGAGAUUGAACUAGACCGGUUAGUGCUUGUCGUUUUCGUGUCAAACUUAUUAUCUUAACAGAUCGUGUCGUGUUAAACCUGUUAUUUUAACGGGUUCUAAACAAGUUACCCGAUCCGUCAACAAAUCGUGCAAUAAAUUGUCAUGUCGAAUAUCUGAUCUGGCAAACGAUAUCGGGUUCUUAACUACUAACCCGAUAACAAUCUGAAUCGUUAAUGGGUUGACCCGAAACUUGUUACUUUGUGUCGUCUCGUGUCAGGUUAACAUGUGACGUCGUGCAAUAAAUUAUCAGCCAUCAUAGAGCCCCAUAUAUUGGUGAGCCCUACUCAUAUUAGAGAGGUAGUACAAAUUUGAUAUAAAAAAUAUGGUAAGUAUAAAAUUACUCUUCUACGAGUGAUUAGUCUACAAAACAAACAAUUGAAAAGUAAGACUUGUUAGAAAACCAAAAGGAUUAAAAAUAAUAGGGUAAACAUCCAAUUUAGUCCCUAAAUUAUCACCUUAAUGAAAAUUAGGUCUCUAAACUAUUUUUUUCAGAAAAAUUAGUCCCUAAAUUAUAAAAAUUUGCCAAUUACAUCCCUAAUGUUAUAUUCGAAGCUACUAUAUUCAAAUUUUCGUCAAUUUAAGUCACGUUACUUGCAUGUGAUACACAUUGGAGGGUAGAUUGGUAGUUUUUCAUAAAGAAAUAGUACAUGGAGUUAACUUUGGAGGAUAAAUUGAUAGUUUUUCAUAAAGAAACAGUGUAAGUUAACUUUUGAGGGUAAAUUAGACAUUAAAUUCGCAACCUAUAUGAAAUGUUAAGGGCUUAUAGACAAGAAAAUGUUGGUAUUACACUCUAAAGUGUAUCAAAUGACUUAAGUUGACGAAAAAAUGGAUAAAAUAGCUUUGAAUAUAAUAGUAUGGAUGAAAUUAGCAAUUUGUAAUGAAUUUAGGGACUUAUUUUACCAAAAAAAUUAAUUUAGAGACCUAAUUUUCACUAAGGUGAUAGUCCAGUGACUAAAUCGGCAUUUCACCCAAAAUAAUAUGUUCGAAAGCAAAGUUAGCUAACGUUACAAAAAAAAAAAAAAAAAAGCCAAGACAGCUGACACUUUCAAAAAAAAAAAAAAAAAAACCAAAAGCCAAGUCAGCUGACACUUUCAAAAAAAAAAAACCAAGUCUGCUGACACUUUCAAAGUGUACGGACAUUUGAAUGGAAAUGAUCCUUGCCAAAUCCUUUUCUUAAGGAUCCUAAGGAUCUAGCAAUCGUAUCCGUUUAUCGCAUAUUAUGCGGUCAGUUUUCGUUAGGUACUAUUUAUAUUUGAAUUUUAAAUUUUAAAUAAUUUAUGAUAGCACAAUGUACAAUGAAUGGACACAAUUACAGGAUCUCUAAGAUGAUCAUUUCCCCAUUUUUAUGAUGGUUUUUUUUCAACGUGUACGAGUAUUUCUUUGAUGGUAUUUAUUAAAACAUCAAUCAAGGCACUAAUUCGCAUGAAGAGUAGUUAAUCUUGUGUUCAUUAGUUCUUAUUGAUUUGAGAUGAAGCAGGCACUCUCCAGAUAUUCAAUGUACCAAGAAGAUCUGUCUUGGAGGCUCCCAGCCAAUUAGAUAUGUUCUUAUGAGAUGUAACUAGGUACCAUAUUUGACCAUAAAAGUUAAAAGUUCUUUUGAAUUUAAAAAAAAAUAAAAUAAAUUAGACAAUUUAUUUUCUAGAAAGCACUUUUUUUUUAUUAAAACUUUCCAUUUAUUCCUGAUAGAAGCAUUUUACAAUAACCACUUCUGAGCAUAAAUGCUUUUUUUUUAAAAUAACUCAAGCAUUAAAUUAUCAUCAGCAAUACAUUUUAUCACUUUUAUCAUCAAUACGCUUCAUUAAUCUAACUCGCAGAAAAAACAAAAAAAAAAAAAUAUCUGAAUCACAUGAAGCGACAUGAACCAAAUAACCAAUACUUCGAUCAGCAACAUUUCACAAAAUGCUUGACAAAUUAUGAGAUGAAAUACCAGAAAACAAAAAUUGGAGGAUACAUUGUCCAAAAUAUUGUGCCUAAAAAAAUUACUAAAGUUACAAGCCUGUACACUGCCCAACAAGAAAAUUACAGCACAACUACUAACAGAACCACCGCCGGCACAAAACCGCGAAAAAAAAACAGUACGAAAGUUUUACUGACAAGAGAAACGUCCAUCUCCUUCGAUCUCUUCCCUCGCUGGAUAACGAAAAAUUGAACAGCGCAUGAAACAUCACAUUAACUUUGACAAUCAUUCUUCAUACUUGAGCUAUCUGCUGUUUCAAUGUCUGCAACAGCUUUAGUUUGGAUUCACAGAUCCGUAGAAACUCAGACAGCACCGUACAUUUCCCAGUUAUCAGCUUUCGCGCGACAUCAGUUGGACUCCAAGACUUCAAUGCUCGGGAGAUUCUAUCACCGACCUCUGUGUCAUUUACGGAUGAGAUACAGGUUUCUAAAAUAUGGAAAACUUGCCCAGGGCCUUCGUUCUGUCCUUUAUUCUGCAAAGAGGAGAGUAAUGUCUCCAAACUUUCAUCCUCUGGCCUGUUGAUCUGUUCUCUUAACCAUUUCAUAACUUUUUCCAGAGUAUUACGCAGAG